rnacentral:rRNA from 1 species
UACGUAGGAGGCAAGCGUUGUCCGGAAUUACUGGGCGUAAAGCGCGUGUAGGUGGUGGGACAAGUCUGCUGUGAAAGCGCCUGGCUUAACCGGGCGAGGUCGGCGGAAACUGUCCGACUAGAGGACGGUAGAGGGGGGUGGAAUUCCCGGUGUAGUGGUGAAAUGCGUAGAGAUCGGGAGGAACACCUGUGGCGAAGGCGGCCCCCUGGGCCAAUACUGACGCUCAUGCACGAAAGCGUGGGGAGCAAACAGG